rnacentral:lncRNA from 1 species
UAUCUUGUGAUAUAACAUUUUCUUAUAUCAAAACGAACACAAAAUAACAGGAAAUUAAAACUUUAUAAAAUUAAUACUCAACAUAAAUAUAAAAAAAGUAAAGAUAUGUGGAUCAAUUCAUAGCCAAUGAAGAAGGAAGGUGAAAAUAUAUGUUCAUGAUAUAUUCACCCUAGUGUUUCAUUUGAUUGAGAUCUCUUGCC